rnacentral:rRNA from 1 species
CCUACGUGUGGCAGCAGUGAGGAAUAUUGGUCAAUGGGCGCGAGCCUGAACCAGCCAAGUCGCGUGAGGGAUGAAGGUUCUAUGGAUCGUAAACCUCUUUUAUAAGGGAAUAAAGUGUGGGACGUGUCCUCUUUUGUAUGUACCUUAUGUAUAAGGAUCGGCUAACUCCGUGCCAGCAGCUGCGGUAAUACGGAGGAUUCGUGCGUUAUCCGGUUUUAUUGGGUUUAAGGGGUGCGUAGUCGGGCUUUUGAGUCAGGCGUUAAAGUCGGUGGGUCAAACAUAGGAUUGGCGGUGUAACCGGGGGGCUUGAGUAUGUUUGGGGCAGGCGGAGUGCGUGGUGUAGCGGUGGACUGCUUAG